rnacentral:lncRNA from 1 species
AUGUUGGGUGCCAUCAUAGGAAUGGGCAAAACGGGAAACAGAGAAAGUGCGCGCACAGGGGCGCGAGGAUAUGACAACAAAAGGCAAAGGGCGAGGUCCAACGGCCCAUCCCCGGCUGAACUCUCUGAGCUUUGGGCCUUUCCUGACCAAGUUACAGGCGCUUACUACCAAACGGGCCCCUCCAGUAGUUCAGAGCUCCCGACACUACCUCCUGGCUGGUCGUCUCCAGCCCCUCUCCAUGCCGUGGUGCCAGGGAAAGGUAUGAACCAGCAGCAUUACCAUCUGGGCACUGAAGCUUUCCGAGGUGAAACCUGGGACGCUGCUUUCCACAAUAUCUUUUCCUGCUUGAUGAUGUGAUGGAUUGUAUUACUUAAUUUUCAUCUUGCUGCUGGACUGGUUGUUGCCAUCUCUCCCGUCACGACCUCUGCUGCCACUUCCUGUGCUCUGUCGCCUGCUCCAUGGUCCAGUCUACCCACUUUUGGGUGCACAGAUGGAUGGAUCGCUCAGGUGUCCUGGUAUGCUGGGCAGAAGCAUUUUUUCCCCUCAGUUUUAGAGAUCUGAUGAGUUGUAAAUCAAAGGGGAGAGAAAAAAAGAACAGGUCUCACUAUCAUGAUGCUGAUGUCACUCCUUUAGAUGUUGAACCAGCCUUCCAUGACUGGGCUAAAUCCCACUUGGUCAUGGUGUGUAAUACUUUAUAUGCUUGUUAAGUCACUUCAGUCUUGUCUAGCUCUUUGCGACGGCUUGGAGUGUAGCCCUCCAGGCUCCUCUGUCCAUGGGACUCUCCAAGAAAGAGUACUGGAGUGGGUUGUCAUGCCCUCCUCCAAGGGAUUUUCCCGAUCCAGGAAUCGAACCUGCAUCUCGUGUCUUCUGCAUUGGCAGGUGCUUCUACGCUAGCACCACCUGGGAAGUCCAAUACUUUAUAUACAUUGUUGGAUGUGGUUUGCUUAUAGUUUGUUGAGAAUUUUUAGGUCUAUGUUCAUGAGACAUUGUUCUGAAAUUUUCUUGUCAUAGGUAUCUGAUUUUGGUGUUAGGGAUGCUGGCAUCAGAGAGUGGGUUGAGGAAGUCUUUUCUCUGCUUCUGUCCUCUAAAGUAGAUUGUAGAGAGUUGAUAUAAUUUCUUUCUUAAAUGUCUGGUAGAGUUCCAAGAAUACCCAUUUGGGCUUCAGGCUUUGUGUUUUGGAAAGUAACUAACUAUUGAAUUCAUUUCCUGAAGAGAUUUAGGCUUAUUCAAAUGGUCUGUUUCUUCUUGUGUGAAUUUUGGCAAAUUGUGUCUCUUGAGUAAUUGGUCCAUUUCAUCUAGUUUAUCAAAUUUGUGGGCAUAGAUUUGUUUAUGGUAUUCCUUUAUUAUCCUUUUAAUGACCAUGUAAUCUUAACAAUGUUUCCUCUUUCAUUUCUGGUAUGUCUCUGGGGAGGCCUCCUUCUGAAUGGGUCUCCAUAGAAUUGUUAACUUUUCAGACUUGUCCACACUGAGCUUCCAGAAGCUUGUCAAUGACAGUUCAGAUUUUCCUUCUCUGGCACUGGUUCCCACAGUGGUUUCUGCUCCCGAGUCUUUGUUCUAGUAAGCUGUGACUCCUCCUCGGAUUCACCUGUCUCUCCAGUCUUAGGGACAGUGGUUUGCCCUGUGGGCUCACCUCUUUCCCAGAUCGAAGAAAAUUUGUUGAUUUUUCAGUCUGAGCUCUUUCCUUGUUAGGACAGAGUGGCAACCCCCAGGCUCCUUAAAUGUGAAACUUGAAGUCUCCUUGUCUUCUUCUUUUUUAAAAAAAAUAGUCCAUAGUCUGGCCAUCCAGGCAUGGACUAUGGUUAUUUUAUUUUAUUUUCUUGCACAAAAUGGCUUGUAGGAUCUUAGUUCCCCAACCAUAGAUCAAACCUGGGCCCUCAGCAGUAAAAAUGCAGAAUCCCAAACAACCGACCAUGACAGAAUUUCCUCGUCUUCAUUUUUGGAAGGAGUUUCUGAAGAAUUGCUUAUUAAUUCUAAGUUUUAUCUGCUCUUUAUCUGUCCUUAUUUGCUCCCACAUCCCUAAUAAGCACUUCAGCUUUAACAUAUAGUCUUUGUCUUUCCUUCUGUAUUGUAAAUUCCUUUGGGGCAAGAGAUGUCUUUAAACUCUGUAUUAUUCGGCCCAGCAGAAUGUUUAGUACAGAAUCAUCACUGGAUAAAUAACAAAACAUAUAACAGCUGAGGAAAAUGGUGUUUUUCUUUUUCUCCCAGCUUCAGAUAGUUCUUAUAACAGACAAAUUGUCUUAGACAAGAAAUAUUUUCAAGAAAUAAGUCUAGUGGAGACAGCAGGAUUGUAUAGUCAGCCAGAUCUGGGUGUCGCUGUUGUUCAGUUGCUCAGUUGUGUCCGACUCUUUGUUACCCCAUGGACUGCAGCACGUCAGGCUUCCCUGUGAAAUUAUUACUAUUGGGAUUUGCUGUUUUAGGCCUUUAGAGUAAUGCCAGAAACCAAUUAUUUUUCCAAAUUGGUCUUUUCCAGUUAUUUCCUUGAAAGAAGGAACUUUUCUGAUUUUUAUGGAGCAUGAAAACAUUUCCAGUAUAAUAUGUGAUAUCUUAAACCUAAAACUGCAGUGCUUACAGAGUGGCUGUGAGAGCCUAGAUGCCACAUCCAUCCUCUCUGGUAGAGUUAUGAAUAUGUGGGGAUGAAUUGCCUAAGUCUAAAUGAAAGAGAAAGACACAGAUGAGACAUUUGAUUAUCUUUAAAAGCCCAGAAUUGUUAACUGUGUUUCCCUGAAACACACUUCAGUGUGAUUUCACACUUCAGUGAAAUCAGAGGGAUGGGAGAGGAGCAUAGAGGGAAGAGGCAAGAGAGGCUCACCACUCUCUUCUCUGAGCUUCAGUUCCUCAUGGGUUGCCAUCCCUCACAUUUAGAAUAUUUAGAUUUCAGGGACUUCCCUGGUAGUCCAGUGGUUAAGACUUGGCACUGCCAGUGUAGGGGACACAGGUUGGAUCCCUGGUCUGGGAACUAAGACUCCACAUGCCAUACAGAGCGGCCAAAUUUUUUAAAUUUUUCAAUAAAAUAUGGAGAUUUCAGAUUCAGCAUAUGCAGUUGUAGAGUAUGG